rnacentral:lncRNA from 1 species
GCUUGGAUUCAAUAUGCUGGGUAUCUCCAGACCUCGGUUUAAUAGUGGUGUGAACAGCCUUAACCCUCUGAUUUUCAGAGUUUCAGAUCCAUGUUCAUGUCCUGUUAUGCUGGCUAUUGCACAAAUAAUCAUGUGGGGACUCUUGUUUUCAGUUUCAGUAAUCUUUCAACAAUUUACUGAGAACAGUUUUCAGCAAUAAGCUCCUCUGAGGUGGUUCCAUCAAUUUUCCUUUGCAUUUUGGUCCCACUGUCCAUUUAUUCAUGGUUGCUUUGUGCCAUCAGACCCUGGAAAGAAGUUAUACAUUUUUUUCAGAACAGACUUCUGUGAACACCACCACAGGAAUAUUCCAGUCUUUGCCUCCUUAUCAUAUGGUCAAGCACGAUUUUGGUGCAUUCUUUCCUCCUUUUAAUGACAGAACUCAUUUCUCUCCACACUGUGGGGAAGUUCUGAACUGUGCAUCCCUCCAACAGCACAGCUGAACCCGGUCCUUCUUUUCUCUCUUCCUUAUUUUUGAUAGCAGGAACAGCAUCUGGAGAACUGACACAGGACAGAACAGGCUCUGGUGCUGAUGGCCACAAAUGCAGAUGUCUGGCAGAGCACCAAAUGGAAGGGCAAACACUUGAGGACUCUUAUCAACGUAGAAGGGGAAAUUCUAGGCCAUUAGAAAACCCUGA